AUGAUUAAAAUAUUUUAAAAAUUAUAUUUAUUUUUAGUCUGAAAUAAAAUAUAGUAUGAAUUUCUAUGAAUAUGUCCAUUAAAUCCAUUUUUAAAAAAAUCACACAUGAAUCAAGGUUGUGACUUCUGUUUUAAUAUAUAAGAUUGAUAUUUAUAUCAUAAAAAAUUUUCAAUCUAACUUAUUUGUUGAUCAAGUAAAAAUUUGAUAUGUCGUACAUGUAAAAACAAUGAGGUGUUAGUUUUUCCAAAAAAAUUAAUUACUUAAUUAAUAAAAGAAAUAAAAUUAUAUAAAAAUUUAUAAAAAUAAAUAAAAAUGAUAAAACUAAACAAAAAUUCAUAAAAUUAAUUAAAAUCAGAAAAUUAAAUAAACAUUAGGAAUAAUAAUAAAAAUUAAGAAAAAUUAAGAAAAUUAACUAAAAAUCAGAAAAUAAAUAUUAAAAUACAUAUUUAAAAAAAUAAAAUUCUGAAAAUUCACCAAAAUUAGAAACUUCAAAAUAUUCAAAAUAUCUUUAAAACAAUAAUAAAUAUUACUAAAAUAAAAACAAGAUUUUUUUAAACUGACAAAUUAUCGUCGAAACUAACAAUUUCAAAACAUAUCUUUGAUGACAAUGAUGGUUUCUAACAUAACCCUUAUCAGUGAUGGUUUUUGACAUAUCACCAAUGAUAGUUUCCACUUUCCAACAUCAUCGUUGAAAACGACCGUAGAUAUGUCAAUAACGAUGUUAGUGAGAAACCAUUACCAUCAAGAGUUAAUGUUUGAAAACUUUAUUGUCAACGAUAAUAUGUCAGUGUUUUUUUUAAACAAAUCUUUUUUAGAAAUAUUAUAUAUAUAUUUUUAAAAAGAAUAUUUUGAAUUUUCUAUUUUUUGUAAAUUUUUUGAAUUUUACUUACUUUUUUAAAUUAUGUAUUUAAAUUUUAUUUAUUUUCUGACUUUUAUUUAAUUUUAAUAAUUUUUAUUUAAUUAUCUAAUUUUUUAUUUAAUUUUGUGAUUUGUUCUUUAAUUUUAUGAAAUUUGGUCUAGUUUUCUGAUUUUUAUUUAAUUUUCUGAACUUUUAUUUAGUUUAUUAAUUAAAUAAUUAUUUUUUGGAAAAAAAAAUCAACACCUCCUUGUAUUAACCUGUAAUAUAGGUCAAUUUUUUACUUGAUGAACAAGUAAGUUAGAUUAAAGGUUAUUUAUGAUACAAAUGUUAAUUUGAAUGUUAAAAGUGCUAGACAAAAAAAUUGAGGGUUUAAAGUGUGAGUAGAUGACACUUUCAGAUUUUUUAAUUCGAUUUUCUCUUAAAGCCUGGAUUGUUUCCGCUAACAAACUAUCUAUUACGGUUUCUUACUUUUCAUUGUUUUGAGGUGAUUUAGUAUAUAUUACAUUAUAAUUUUUUUUCCAGCUAAACGACAUAAUUUAAUAUAUAUUUCAUAAUAUUUUUAUGAUAAUAAUAGUGUCUCUUUUGUUGGGGGUAAAUAUGAAAAUUUUCAUAUGAUUUUUACAAUAGUCAUUUACUUUUUUUUUUCUUUCAAUACAAAUUUGAGAUUGAAUAUCCUAAUCUCUUUUAUAUGGGCAUAAAUUAGAAUUUUCAUAUGAUUUUACAAAUAAAUCAUUUAUUUAAGUUUCUUUAAAUAUAAAACUAAAUGGUUAUUGCUGCAUGCCCUCACUACUAUUAGAUGAGUCUCUGAGCGUUUCCUUAUUAAAAGAUCAUUUGCAUCAUGACAAGAACACCAUUCAACUUCCAUUAACUCCUAAGUUUUGUCCUGUGUCAGGUAGGGAUGGCAAAAGAGGUGGACCGCGGGCCUGACCCAUAAGGGAUUGCUGUGGGCAGGUUUGGUCCGUCAUUUGGUAAGCCCGCAAAUUUGUGGGCCACGCGGGCAGGAACUAUGCGGAACUGGGCUUAAAGCGGGAAGGCCCAUAGUGAUCAGCGGGUCACCCGCGUAAACCUGUGUUGCUUCGUCACUUUCGACCUUUGGAAAGCUCAUGAUGAAAUUGUGAAACAAUUUCGAUUUUGGAGGCAUUUCUGGAGACAAUCCUCCACCAUAGCUUCUCUUCUUUGUCGAGCCACCACUGGAGCUUCUCUUAUUGCUCAAGCCACCACAUGUGCUUCUCUUUGUCUCCAUUCCACCACCGUAGCCUCUCUUUGUCUUCGUUCCACCACCGGAGCUUCUCUUCUUCAUCGAUAUACCACUGUUGCUUCUCUUCUUCCUCGAUCUACCACCAUCGGCUGUAGCUUCUCUUGUUCUUCGAGCCAUCACCUUCUUCUUCUUAUCCUCAUAGCCAACCAAAAGGCAGUUGAAGAUCGGCCGUCCCGCGGGUCGUCCCGGAAAAGUCUACAUGUUUUGCGGUACGAGUUUGGUCAGUCAUCCUGAGUACCGCAGCCCGCGCGGCCCUGACCCGCUGUGACCAGCUCGAAGAGGAGCCCGCUGCGGUAUGGGACGGAAUGGUACAGAUCAACCUGUUUGACAUUCCUAGUGUCAGGCAAAGGAGAUGUAAAGAAUAUGUUUUUUCAGGUACCUUAUGUUUCUCUGUUUCACAAGGAAAAUAAACUCUCCGUCAAAAUUGACAUCUGGAUGAUAUUUACCGUAUACGGACCGAAACUUCACGGUACGGUACGCUUUUAUGAUUGAAAAUUUACUUUUUUAAGCAAAUAUGUAUUCUUAAAGAAAAAAAAAAAUAUGUUUUUGAUGAUAUUAUUAAUAUGGAUCUAAAAGAUCAUAAAAUUAUUAAUUAACAUAAUUAUAUACAGACUUUAAAACGCGUAUUCACUUCAAAAUAUUUUUGGUUUUAAGCUUUUUGUUUUCUUCCAGUUGAUUUGUGUUCAUUCACGUAAUCUUAUUCUUUUGCAUUCAGUAAAGGUAUAUGUUUUUAAAAUGUAUUGACACGUGUUCUAAUUGUCAAUCUCAAACAGAUUUGUUAGAUUUUUUAAAAUAUAUGUUUUUAUAUCUAAAAUGAAAAGAUAUCAAAAGAUAUUAAUUAUGAUUAAAUUAGUUCAAAGAUUCUAUGUGUUAUAGUUUUAACAAAAUACAUUUAAUAAAAAUUUUAAAGGAUGGUCCAAAUUAAAAAAUCAUACAUGAAAGAAAUCAUUAUUUAUAUUUUAAUAGAAUAGAUAUAUGUAUAUAUAGUAUUGAGAUUAGGUUGGUGCUUUAUUUAUAAAAAUGUUAUAUAUUAAAAUAGCAAAAUGAUUACAAAUACUAAAAACGAUCAAAAAUAGAACUCAUGUGUUUUGAAAGUAACUGAUAUUUAUACUAAAUAUUUAUAUAUACAAAGAUGAUUAUGAUGUGCUAUGUGAUAGAGAGAACGAAGAGCAACACAAAAAGAACCUUUUUCCGGUAAAAAAUUUUCGAGCCCACCAUUUGAUAUUGUUGCUCACAUUCAUGAUUUCAUAAGCAUGCGCUUGGUGGAAGAGGUGAGAUAGUACAUGGCCUUCGGAAUAAUUAAGAUUAGCACCAUUGCUUUUGCCGGUCAUAUUUUCCCUAAAAGAGUUGAUUCCUUGUAGAUGACUCCUGAGAGCUACACCAAGAUGACCAUGUAAAAUCCAUCCACUACUUAGUUUGAAAGCAGCAUCAUAGUUACACUCCAACUUAUUUUUAUUUUUUCUUAUAAUAUAAUAAUGUUACGUAGCUUCUUUUGGAAGCUGGAAGCUGGAUUUGUAUUCCGCAGGGACAUUCCAUGGAACCUCAAAUAGUCUAUUUUAUUAGUAUCAAUUACCUUUUUUUUUUAAUUUCAAAAAACUUGUCUAAACUUAUAGUCGUUUUAUGAUUUACCGUUGCCUCA